rnacentral:rRNA from 1 species
UACGUAGGGGGCAAGCGUUGUCCGGAUUUACUGGGCGUAAAGAGCGCGUAGGCGGAGAUCUAAGCGUGGCCUGAAAGCCCCCGGCUCAACCGGGGAGUGCGGCUGCGAACUGGGGUUUCUUGAGGACGAUAGAGGAGAGUGGAAUUCCUGGUGUAGCGGUGAAAUGCGUAGAUAUCAGGAGGAACACCCGAGGCGAAGGCGGCUCUCUGGGUCGUACCUGACGCUGAGGCGCGAAAGCGUGGGGAGCGAACGGG